rnacentral:rRNA from 1 species
UACGUAGGGUCCGAGCGUUGUCCGGAAUUACUGGGCGUAAAGCGCAUGUAGGCGGAUCCAUAAGUCGGGCGUGAAAUCCCCAGGCUCAACCUGGGAACUGCGCUCGAAACUGUGGGUCUUGAGUGUCGGAGAGGAUGGCGGAAUUCCUGGUGUAGAGGUGAAAUUCGUAGAUAUCAGGAGGAACACCGGUGGCGAAGGCGGCCAUCUGGACGACAACUGACGCUGAGAUGCGAAAGCGUGGGGAGCAAACAGG